UCUGGGAAAUGGUGCUAAAAUUCAAAGAUAUCAGAGGCGCAAGCUUUGCUGAGUUGUUUUUGGUAUUGCACGUCAGACUGAUCCCCAA